GCGCUCCUUCGGCAGCACAUAUACUGAAACUGGAGCGAUACGGAGAGGAGUAGCAUGGCUCCUGAGGAAGGAUGACGUGCUAACUUGUAAAGCAUUGCACGUUUAA